UACGGGGGGGGCAAGCGUUGUUCGGAAUUACUGGGCGUAAAGGGCUCGUAGGCGGCCAACUAAGUCAGACGUGAAAUCCCUCGGCUUAACCGGGGAACUGCGUCUGAUACUGGAUGGCUUGAGUUCGGGAGAGGGAUGCGGAAUUCCAGGUGUAGCGGUGAAAUGCGUAGAUAUCUGGAGGAACACCGGUGGCGAAGGCGGCAUCCUGGACCGACACUGACGCUGAGGAGCGUAAGCCAGGGGAGCAAACGGG
rnacentral:rRNA from 1 species